GCUAGUGGCGCUAGAACAUCAAAUGCACCAGCUCCCACUGAAUCACUAAAGUUAAGCAACGUUGCGCGUGGUUGGUAUUCGGAUGGGCGACCUUGGGGGGAAAUCUCGUGCUUCUAGAU
rnacentral:rRNA from 1 species